ensembl:lncRNA
UAUAUCACAAAUGCAUUUUUUAUUCUCAAAUCAAUGGUUUAGUGCUUUAAAUGUUUAUCUUUUUAGAAAUACAGCUCAUAUUUUACAGUUUAUAACAGCACUUACAGUAAAUGCUGAGUAAAUGAUUAUGGAAAUCUCAAUACGGUUGGAAUCAGACAUCCCCCCAGACAACAGGAAUGUUAAUAGCUAGGCAGUAGUCCACACUAACACAUACUCACAGCCAAACGUGCAUUCAGUAACUCACAAACACACCAGUUUAACCAUGGCCCGCAUUUUAAUUGCAGAGACAAGGACACUGACCUGUCCAUUACAAUCAUUGAUCACGUUAUAUUCUACAGUAUGCAACAACAGAGUCACAAAUAAACAUCAGCUUUUGACAUUAAAGCACACAAACAGAAGCUUUGUACGCUGGGGAGAUAGCAGUAAAAGUAAUACACUCUACAUCUCUGUUAUGUUUUAGUUACCAACAUCUAGAGUACAAAGGCCUUUGGUUGGUUGGUGUCUGGGGAGUAAGGGUGAGAAUGAAGUUUUGUUGUACACUGAUGUCUUUACAUGAUUGGGUUCAAGGCACAUCAAUAAAAGUAACAGCACAGAAAUGUACAUAAUCACGUCUGCACAUGGCCGGUAUCAAGCAGUUUAUUACUAGUUGGUGUAGUCAGGAUUAUAGUGUGAUAUUCACCCAGAAUCUCCUGAUUUUAACCUAAAAUGACAGAAAAGUAUGGCCUAUUAUGAGACUAGGGUGCAUGUUUAUGCAUUUUCUUUCUGUGUAUUACCAAAAACGAAAAAAGCAUCACCUAGUAAAGUGUGUAACACUGGUUUUGGUUGGUACUGUGAUGCAAAAAGUGGAAUAUUAAGCCACCAUCCCCAUGCAGGAACAAACAGAAGAUACAUACUGAAUGUUUAUAACGAAAGGUGCAUCCUCAGGAAUGCACUAUUAGCCCUUCGCAAAUUAACGAAUGUUUCCAAGGAAAGAAACGGCAUACAAGAAGCCAGAGGUCUCCCGUGCCUCUGCUUCUGCCUCUCGUCUGUACACUAUACAGUGAUGGGCACCGGCCUUGAAAGGCAGACGAUUGCCCUUUUCACAUUAGGUGCUGAAUUGUACCCAGCAAGUAACUAACCAAGAUACCUGCUAAUUUAUUUAUUCAUUUUUAAAUUUUUUUGUGAAUAAAAUGACCUAAUUCCAGGUCUUGACUUCACAAAAUGACAAAGAAAGCAGCUACUACAAACAGCGUCUCAUUCCCCCGGCUCUCCUUUGAGCACUACAUUUACACUGGCUUUGGCACAAACUAUCUUCACCAACAUCUAUUAAACACCACGAUGGUCCCGUAAGUACAUUUAGCGUGUCCGAGUAGCCAGUGGAAACGGUGUUUUGUGUGUUUUCUUCAGUAUGGUUCAGUACAUUUCGUCGUUCACUUUAGGUGGGUGUAAAAAGUGCGUCAGCUCACAUUUCACUCCACCAGCCGUGAAUGUGACUGAAAGACUGAGAAAGAAACAGACAGAAAAACACAGAGAGUUCAAGUAAUUAACUCUGGAUGAUGGGAGAUCAGUUCUCACACUGCAGGCUUGAAGACACUAAAUACCUUAACUGCAGUGGGUGAGGAUCUGAAAUGAGUCUUUUCACCGCGGUGCACAUGUUAUUUAGUAAAGCAGAAAAAGGAAAACAUACUAAAAUAUACUGCAUGUUUCAUUACGGUUCCUGUUUACUGUUCACUCUUUGAUUGCUGUUACAUACACAGUCCGGUCGCCAUCGUCAUUUCAUGUAUUUUUCAGACUAUAGUACAAGGAUGUCUGUGUGACAGAGUAUGAAACAGGGCUAAAGCACAUUAAAUCACAGCAUGCCUACAAACUUCCAUAAACAUGAUUCAUAGGGUAUCUUUGUAAUCCUGUUCUGACCUGUUACUGAAGGUGCGACUGACCCUGCUGGAAAUACUACCUGCAGCAGUGACAACACAGACAGAAUGUCACGACAAAUUACUGGGUGUGUUGCCUGCUACAAACUGGGACUUGCCUCUCUGUGUGUGCAGAGCCUCACAUUAAUAUUAUUAGGAGUAGCCUCUUCUACCUCAUCUCUUUUGAUUGCAUUGAUUGCGAGCUUCCGGCCUGACUGAUAUACUGGAACCAACUCAAUCUGACAGUGGAGCGUGUACCCAGCAAUCUUGUUGUUGCUGUAGAGGCUUUGACAAAUAGUCUGGGAACCAGGUGUUGUGAAGGUGUCUUGUGGAAGUGGAUGUGAGUAAAAUCAUGAUAGCUAGAACAGAACGGGAUGUGUUCUGUGGACGUGGUAAGGGUUUCUAAAUUCAGGCUAUUGUGAAGAUCUUUUUGCUGAAGCCCAUACAGAAUAAAUUAUAUCUAUAUUGGUCAUGUUUUUGCUAGCCAGUUGCUGUAGGUAAGUUAAAAUUAGUAAUGAUGGACGAUAUAAACACUAUCUGAUAUAUAAGAAGACUUCCAAAUCAAAGAGGCUAAACAUAUCCUGUAGCCCUUGUGGCUCCAUGGCUUUACUUAAUCUAAGCCCUGACUUUAGCAUGCUAACAUCUUUACAUUGAUAGCAGUUUAUUAUGCAGAUAUUUAUUGAACAUUUUUACUCCUUGCUAACAUGUUAGCUUGCUAAUGUUUCUGACUGAGUUGCAAAUUCAAGGAAAGCUAGCAUGCUAACAUGCUAAACACAAUGUUAAAAGGUUAACACACUCGCUAAAUAUCUGUAUAAUAUAAUUGUCAGGAUGUCAGCAUCAAUGAGCGCCUACUUUUCCAAGGGCUCUAGUUCCAGAAGGGAAUUUCUCCAAGAAACCUUCAUAUUAAAUGUUUGAAGCCUUGACCCAAGCUGAGCAGCUACCAGGUGAACUGUAACAUGAAAAUCUGUUUAUAUAAAUACUUUGAAUGGUGAAGGAACUACUACAUUCCUCAGCAAAUAUCUCCCAAACUUCCUGAAUUUAAUCCUUGACAUUACUGUAGUCUUUUUGAAUGAAUUUUAUAAUUUGUGUUGUGUGUGUUUGGGAUUAGGGUUUCUUACGUUUCAUGCUCAUUAAGUGUUAGUGGGUUUGAACAUUUCCAUUACAACACCAGCUUUAACUAAUCAGAGGCAUUGCUGUUUAAAUUUUGGACAUCUACUUUUGACUGAUUCAGUAUUAUGUAGGUCAUGGUCAAAAUCCUGAUGAAGACUAUGAAUGGAAUUGGCACUUUUCAAAACUCACUAUUUUAUUUUGGGCCUUAUUCUGGACAGAAAAGUCAUGUUUCCCUUAUACCAUGCUCUCUAUUCAGCUCUGUAUGUUCUGGAACACAGAGUAUCUAACUAAAUAUGUAUACAGGCGUUUAAACCUGCUGAACCAAUAACUUCUUUCCAUUAGUUUUGCAGGUAAUUGGAUUUUAAACCACAUUAUCAAAUAGUGUAAAUGACAGACCUGACGAUGGCAAUUGAUGGAAUGUUAAGGGAUCGCCAAAACAUCUUAAUUCAUCAAAGAGGUCUGAUCAAUUUAGCAAAAUAGUGAACUGACAGACCAACACUGCCGAGGCUUGAACCACCCUGCAAGCAACCCAGAGUCUCAAAAUAUAGAUCUAAAUAUAUAUAAAUGUCCGGUAAUAAUAGACUUGGUCGCAAAUUUGAGCUAUAGCUGUCUACUUAUUAUUUCCGCUCUUAAUUCAAUGCAUUAAAUGCAAUUCAGAGAUAGUGAAAUACUAUUCAAAAUAUGUUGAUCAUAAUGCUGUUUGCCAUAUACCGCAACAACAAACUCUAGCGACUGUGAAGACCAACUACAUGUGGUUUUAAAUUUGUUUUGACCUGAUAUUUUCAUAUAUCUAAACUUUGCUGAACUGUUCAUUUGGACAUAAAACUUGAAUGUGUCCGGAAAUGUGUGACAUGUUCCCAGCAGCAGUGUCCUUGAUUUUAAAAGAGGGGCUAUUAUGCUAAUUUCCAACUCCAUGUCAUGAAUUAUUCUUGGGGUUUACUAGAGUAGCUUUGCGCAGUAAAAGCUCAAAAUUAUACCAUACUGAGCAUUGAUGCAGCACCUCAUUUCACCCUCUGUCUGAAACAAGCUCUAGUGCCAGUUUUCUUCUGAUUGGCUGCCCCUCGCAAGCAGAAGGUCUGAAAAGGCAGAGCUUCG